GACGAACGCUGGCGGCGUGCUUAACACAUGCAAGUCGAACGGAAAGGCCCUGCUUUUGUGCGGUGCUCGAGUGGCGAACGGGUGAGUAACACGUGAGUAACCUGCCCUUGACUUUGGGAUAACUUCAGGAAACUGGGGCUAAUACCGGAUAGGAGCUCCUGCUGCAUGGUGGGGGUUGGAAAGUUUCGGCGGUUGGGGUUGGACUGGCGGCGUAUCAGCUUGUUGGUGGGGUAGUGGCUUACCAAGGCUUUGACGGGUAGCCGGGCUGAGAGGGUGACCGGCCACAUUGGGACUGGAAUACGGCACAGACUACUACGGGAGGCAACGGUGGAGAAUAGUGUACAAUGGGCGGAAGGCUGAUGCAGCAAAGCCGCGUGCGGGAUGAGGGCAUGGGGGUUGUAAACCGCUUUCGCCUGAGACGAGGCGUGAGUGACGGUAAUGGGUAAAGAAGCACCGGCUAACUACGUG
rnacentral:rRNA from 1 species